rnacentral:rRNA from 1 species
GCGUCCUUCGGGCGUCCGAGUUGUAAUCUAUAGAAGUGUUUUCCGUGCCGGACCAUGUCCAAGUCCCUUGGAACAGGGUAUCAAAGAGGGUGACAAUCCCGUACUUGACAUGACCACCGGUGCUCUGUGAUACACUUUCUACGAGUCGAGUUGUUUGGGAAUGCAGCUCAAAAUGGGUGGUAAAUUCCAUCUAAAGCUAAAUAUUGGCGAGAGACCGAUAGCGAACAAGUACCGUGAGGGAAAGAUGAAAAGCACUUUGGAAAGAGAGUUAAACAGUACGUGAAAUUGUUGAAAGGGAAACGAUUGAAGUCAGUCGUGUUCUUUGGACUCAGCCGGUUCUUCCGGUCUAUUUCCUUUGAACGGGUCAACAUCAGUUUUGUCCGGUGGAUAAAGGCAGGAAGAAAGUGGCUCCCUCGGGAGUGUUAUAGCUUUCUGUCACAUA